rnacentral:rRNA from 1 species
AACGAACGCUGGCGGCAUGCCUAACACAUGCAAGUCGAACGAGACCUUCGGGUCUAGUGGCGCACGGGUGCGUAACGCGUGGGAACCUGCCCUUAGGUUCGGAAUAACUCCCCGAAAGGGGUGCUAAUACCGGAUCAUGUCUUCGGACCAAAGAUUUAUCGCCUUUGGAUGGGCCCGCGUUGGAUUAGCUUGUUGGUAGGGUAAAAGCCUACCAAGGCGACGAUCCAUAGCUGGUCUGAGAGGAUGAUCAGCCACACUGGGACUGAGACACGGCCCAGACUCCUACGGGAGGCAGCAGUGGGGAAUAGUGGACAAUGGGCGAAAGCCUGAUCCAGCAAUGCCGCGUGAGUGAUGAAGGCCUUAGGGUUGUAAAGCUCUUUUACCCGGGAUGAUAAUGACAGUACCGGGAGAAUAAGCUCCGGCUAACUCCGUG